rnacentral:tRNA from 1 species
GUCAAUAUGUCCGAGUGGUUAACGAGAUAGAGUUGAAAUCUAUUGGGCUUUGCCUCCGCAGGUUCGAAUCUGUUGUUGACG